CCUACGGGAGGCAGCAGUGGGGAAUCUUCCGCAAUGGGCGAAAGCCUGACGGAGCAACGCCGCGUGAUCGAAUGAAGGCCUUCGGGUUUUAAAGAUCUGUUGACAGGGACGGCUAAGCAAUGCGAAUAGUUUUUUGUCUGCCGGUACCUGUGUGGCAAGCUCCGGCUAACUACGUGCCAGGAGCCGCGGUAAUACGUAGGGAGCAAGCGUUGUCCGGAAUUACUGGGCGUAAAGGGCGAGUAGGUGGGCGCUUAAGUCAGGUGUGAAAACUCCGGGCUCAACCUGGGGACUGCACUUGAAACUGGGUGUCUUGAGGGCAGGAGAGGACAGUGGAAUUCCUAGUGUAGCGGUGAAAUGCGUAGAUAUUAGGAGGAACACCAGUGGCGAAGGCGACUUUCUGGACUGCACCUGACGGUGAGGCGCGAAAGCGUGGGUAGCGAACGGGAUUAGAUACCCCAGUAGUC
rnacentral:rRNA from 1 species